rnacentral:rRNA from 1 species
AGAGUUUGAUCCUGGCUCAGGAUGAACGCUAGCGGCAGGCUUAACACAUGCAAGUCGAGGGGCAGCGGGGAGGAAGCUUGCUUUCUCCGCCGGCGACCGGCGCACGGGUGAGUAACACGUAUGCAACCUGCCCCUGUCAGGGGGACAACCCGCCGAAAGGCGGGCUAAACCCGCGUACAUGCCACCGGGGCAUCCCGGAGGCAGGAAAGGCUUCGGCCGGACAGGGAUGGGCAUGCGGCGCAUUAGGCAGUAGGCGGGGUAACGGCCCACCUAACCGACGAUGCGUAGGGGUUCUGAGAGGAAGGUCCCCCACACUGGUACUGAGACACGGACCAGACUCCUACGGGAGGCAGCAGUGAGGAAUAUUGGUCAAUGGUCGGGAGACUGAACCAGCCAAGCCGCGUGAGGGAGGAAGGUACAGAGUAUCGUAAACCUCUUUUGUCAGGGAACAAAGGCGGGGACGUGUCCCCGGAUGAAUGUACCUGAAGAAAAAGCAUCGGCUAACUCCGUGCCAGCAGCCG